UCUGAUAUAGAUAGUUGAGGCACCAAUGAUAGGGUAGCUUGCACCAUCCUGUGUCGCUAGAAUGACUAAAGGUAACAAGUACUUACAUAGACUCCGAUACAGAUAGGUGAAGCACCAACGAUAGGGUAGCUUGCACCAUUCUGUGUCGCUAGAAUGGAUAAAGGUAACAAGUACUUACAUAGACUCCGAUAAAGAUAGGUGAAGCACCAAUGACAGGGUAGCUUGCACCAUCCUGUGUCGCUAGAAUGACUAAAGGUAACAAGUACUUACAUAGACUCCGAUAUAGAUAGGUGAAGCACCAAUGAUAGGGUAGCUUGCACCAUCCUGUG